GGGGGCGUAGCUCAGAUGGUAGAGCGCUCGCUUAGCAUGCGAGAGUUACCGGGAUCGAUCCCCGGCGCCUCCA
rnacentral:tRNA from 1 species